GCGCUGGUGGUUCAGUGGUAGAAUUCUCGCCUGCCACGCGGGAGACCGGGGUUCGAUUCCCCGCUAGCGCA
rnacentral:tRNA from 1 species